AUUUUUUUUCUCUGCCCUCGUUCGCCCGCCGCCUCCCUUCGUCCCUUCGCCGCCACCCCUCGAUCUAUUCGCGACGCGAACGCCGCCGCCUGGCAGAUCCCAGGCGCUAGCCGCGGAUCCCUUUGCCGGCUCCGAGGGGUCGUGGAGGCGCCGCCGUCGAGGUCCUAAAGGAGGCGCCGCCGCCAUCGUUGUGGACCUCCGGGUGGCCAUCGGGACACCUCUGCUGAGGUACGCCUUCGCCUUCGCACGCUGCCGACCUCCCAGAGGAGACGCCGCCGCCAUCGACCUCCAAGAGGAGACGCCGCCACCACCUGCGCUAAACCCUAGGCAUCAACCACCGUGCUCCCGUCGUCUGGUUCCUCCUGCGUUCGCCACCAUGCGAUCGACUUCCUCCCUCAGGUUCUUGUACGGAAUAUACCACCAGACCCCGAUGAAUCAGUUAGCAAGCUUGUGGAACAUUUCUUCCUUGUCAAUCAUCCUGAUCAUUAUCUGAAACAUCAGGUAAUCACUAAAUUUUGGAACAUCUCCCAUUUGAAGAAUCAUCUGCAAAUUCAAAUGUAAGGAAGUGUGCAGUGCAAGCAAUUAUCAGGGUAAAUCUAUUUCUCAAUUAUGUAUUUUUACCACUUCAUCAGGAGUGUAAACUGAUACUAUUUCCAACUACAAAGUGUUGGCUCCCCAGGAAGAAGGAAAGGUCAGUCCAGACAUGACAUUUAACUCUAAUAAUGGAGGUACGUAGUGCCUACUGCUCCCUUGUCCCUUGCUACCGUCUGGGGAUGCUCGGCUCGCCAGCGAUGGGGAUGUUCGGCUCGCAGCCCCUGCUCUCAUUUUCCUCCAGCCUCUGGUAACCCUCCUCCUCACCCGCCUCGCCGAAGCGGGAUUCACAGGUUAGUUUAGUUUGGAGGGAUUUCCUGUGGUUGUGCGUGAAUCCAGUGUUCACUGGGCUUGUAUGUUUCAUCCCUAAUAUGCUAGCUCCUGCCUAAACACGCAUUAGAGAAUCUCAUGUAUGUAAGAGAAGAUACACAAAUGUGGUUUUCCAGGGAGCAUCAGGUACAUCUUAUGUGGGGAUGAACCAUCAGCUAAAGGGAGUGAUAGGAAAAUAUUUUGUUGAAUGCAAUGGGAAGGCGAAAAACGACACGCCUUGGCGAAGCAACUCUAAGAUUCGGUAAGGCUAAUCAAGUCUGCAAUCAAAUCCAAGAGCAGGGGCAUAGAAAAACGUUAAAAUACUUUUUAGCUAUUGAUUGAAGUGACUGGUAAUUAGUAGCAGGAGCAACAGUUGUAGUAAGAACCUAUCUAGGCAUAUUUUCUCUCUUUCCUAUCACAUGGCACAUUGAAUAACUUUAUAGUACAAAUACAUUCACAUAUGUUAUUUUAAAUUAUCAUGUCAUGGAGGUUCUCGUUAUUUCGAAUCUUUGGUUGGAACCUUCAUUUUGUGUUAUUAAAUGCACAUGGUAUUCAGUUAUCUCCAUUAUGGUGAGAAGACUUUGAUCUUGAUAUAUCAGAUUUAAGCCUCUUACACCAUAGGAGGUCCUCCUUUUGGUGAUAUUCACUCAUAUGUCAUUUUAAAUUAUCAUGUCAUGGAGGUGCUGGGUAUUUCGAAUCUUUGGUUGGAACCUUCAUUUUGCGUUAAAUUCACAUGGUAUUCAGUUAUCUCCAUUAUUGCCAGUAGCAACGCACAAGCACUUUCUAUUAAAUGCACAUGCUAUUUUCUUUUGUAUCAUGUCAUUUUGUGGUCAUUAACAAUCAGAUGGAUGAAACUGAUCUUGUUUUGUGCAUCAUGGAUUUUCCUCAACUGAAUGAGUAGAAACAUAAGUGUGUAAUGUAGUAGCCCCUCUAUUCCAUUGUUAUAAAUAUUAUAGUUUUUCAAUCUGCUGACCUGAUCGUAACAGCUGUUUAAAAGGAAGUGAUCACAUCACUAUUUAGAUUUUACUUUUUUUUUGUAUGCUUAAACAUAAGAUUAGUUUGUCCCCUUUCUUUUUACCCUUCAUGCUAACAUAAUAAAUACAUAUUUGAACUGAAUUGGUUGUAUUACAUAUGCCACGAAGGAUGUCGCCGCUUGAAGCUCGAUUUCCAUCAGCCCCUCUUUUAAUUCACUUGCAUUGUUUCAGCUUUGCAUUGUACUUCUUUGACGAAUUACCUCAUCCAAUCGGCUUUAAUUCGGAGCGUCAGUCUUACUAAUUAUCAUUGCCUUAACUUUCCAUAUGAACCUCUUACAGGAAACAAGAACUCCUAUUUGUCUGUAGUACUGCCCAUGAGACUCAACCUUGUUUUACCUUAAUUAUCAUGGUGUGCCUUUUUUUAUAAUAGCUCACCAUUUUGUUAGUGGCAAUAAAAUGCAUCUUUAGGCACACCUAUAGCGCACAUGUGAUGAUGUACAGAUGAAAGAAAGAUCUUAGAAGCUGAGAAGCCGAGAGCUGGAGGAACAAGGAGAAGCUAAAAGGACAGAAGAAGUCAGAGCAUGUGGAGCUGUUGGGCAAGCAGAGUUCUAUCUGGGUAUUUAGGUAGCUGAGGAUAAAAGGGAAAAGGAAAAUGUUGACGAUAUAGUUACUCAAUGCUGAGAAUGUUGCAUGCAUACUUUGUUGCCUAUAUAUCAUUGGCUUUGUAUUGAUCCAGGCAAGAACAAAUCAGACGGAACAAGUUUGCUACGGGUGGGUGUGCAUCAAGCUGCUUCGUUGCCGGCGGCGAGUAAUCUCACACAUGUUUAUGGCGCAUAUGUACCAGAAAAUUCAAAUGGUUCUGAUCAUACGUCCGAGGGGAAUCAGGUAGGGCUUGAUGCGCCUUUCAUACGAAAUGUUGAUGAGAAUUACCCAAGUAGUCCAGAUGCAUGUCAGGUUGUUCGCUUGGUCUGCGCCAACGAGCAUCUCCUACAAGUCAUCAUCUCUCUCUUUGUCGGCUCCAUGUUGUAGCCUGCUAGGAGUCCUACCUUGCCAUGGAGCAUGUCCUUUGUCAUGGGUCAUACUGAGGACGCAGUGACAUGCAAGGCGAGGGAAAUUGAAGCCAAAACAUGCAGGACGGCCAGGAGUGUGCCAUUUUUUCUAUGACAGGGGGUGGUUCUUCAAUCUUCAGGGAAUCAAGCGGUAGCAUCAGAUGCUGACAUGCAUGGAAGCAGUAAACAUUGAUAAGAGUACAAGCAUUGGAGGAGUACUCACCACAUUCGAGGAAGUCGUCAUCAUGGUGGUGGUGGUCGAGGAAGUCGUAGGUGCUGGUGGCAUCAUCACGGAGCAGGCACCAUCUUCUCCUCGACUUAAAAUGUGGGAUGCAGCAACCUUGUCAAAGUAGCAUCUGUUCCUUUGUUUCCAAAUGUUCCAGGCGUCCGGGACUUUGAUUGCAUUGAACAAUGGGUGUGGCCAUGAAGACUUCACUGCAUCAAACAUCUCCUGAAGCUCCAAUGGUGUGGUGUUGCACAAAAGACAGGAGUGACUCCAAUAUCAAAAUGUCUCCGGUGGAGCAUGUCCCUUAUGUUGACUCUGUCCAUUAACAUCAGCCAGGUGAACACUUUAAGUUUCACGAUACACUUUGUCUUCCAGAUCAUUGUGAUGUAUGCGGGUGGCUGCAGUUCUCUGAAGAAGAAGUUGGUGAAUUUCUUGGGCCGAAACUGAACAUCUCCCCAACAAGUAAUCCAUUCAUCAGCCAUCAUUGGUUCCAAGUAGAGAUCAUUCAUAUGAUUCUGCAGAUAUGUUAAUUCAUGUAGCGCCUCGAUUGAUAGAGUGAGGUAAAAGUUUUUAGAAGCUUGUGGUCUGUCUUGGAAUUGCACUAUAGAAAUAUCCUCCUCCCUUGUGGAAGUGAACAUGUGUGGCAGCUUGUUGGAAAGGGGUUCGUCAUCGAUCGAAAUAUCUUUCCAUAGAAGAAUUGUGUCGCCAGCUCUAGGAAUGCAAGUUGUAAACCCUCUGUAUAUGUCCAUCAACGAGAACACAUCGUUCUGUAUAUCUUUCCA